rnacentral:lncRNA from 10 species
GGACCCGUAGAAGUUAAGUGAUGUCCCUGUUUGCAGUGUCAAUGAGAUUGAGGGCUUGGGCUUGAACCCAACCUUCUCCCUCCAAAUAGCCUGCUCUUUCUGUUAUGUCAUGUUUCAUAUACAAGUUUGGGAGCCUCCAGCCCUGACUAUCCCAACAUAUACAACAUAAUGUAUAUGUUGUCUUUGGAAAUAUCUUCUGUGAAGGCCAAGCAUUUAAUAUUACAGGAAACCUUGAAGUGGAUAUGGAAGCUUGGCAGCCAGCUUGGAUCUUCCUAAGAGCCUCUUUCCUUCAUACCAUCUUCAGAUGAAGACUUUGAAACCACAAUAUAUCAUGCAAUGUAAAGGACUAUUUUGAAGUGGUAGCUAAGUGGUUGUGAGGGGUAAAUAUACCUCUGGGAGCCACCUCAAAUCCCUUGUGGAUAUUAAAAGUAUAAGUGAAAUAAAAAGGGAAUGUUAUAAAUAAAUGAAUAUGUAAAAAUAUCUUUAAGUAGCUAUGUAUCAAUUUAUUAAUUCUGAUGUUGAAUGCUCUGUCCUACUCAUUUUUCAAAGAGAUUAAAACCUCUUUCCCAUUAAAACUUGCCAGCCUGUUAGAGCACAUAGAGCUAUCUAUCUGCUAGAAUAAUAAUACUUUUUCGAAUUUACCAGUAUUUUUCAAAAUGUAUUCCAAAGAACUCUAGUUCAUGAACUAUCUGUACUACCACCAAACAAACAAGCAAAGAGUGAGACACAUUUGCAAAAGCCCAGCCUAUAUAAAUUAUGAAAACACUACAUUGCUAAAUAAGAUUGUUGUAUAUAGGAGAACUAACUCUAUCUACUGACUGCUGCUGCUUACUGAGGAGACAAAUAUAUUUCCAUAAAAUUCAAAUAAAAUGUUUUUAGAUUCCAGUCAAAUGCCAUCAUCUAAUGAGAUGACUGAGAUGACAUCUACUACCUUAAAGAAGUCAGGAAUGAGGCCGGGCACGGUGGCUCACGCCUGUAAUCCCAGCACUUUGGGAGGCUGAGGUGGGUGGAUCACGAGGUCAGGAGAUCGAGACCAUCCUGGCUAACAUGAUGAAACCCCGUCUCUGCUAAAAAUACAAAAAAUUAGCCAGGCGUGGUGGCGGGCGCCUGUAGUCCCAGCUACUUGGGAGGCUGAGGCAGGAGAAUGGCGUGAACCCAGAAGGCGGAGCUUGCAGUGAGGGGAGAUCGCGCCACUGCACUCCAGCCUGGGUGACAGAGUGAGACUCUGUCUCUUGUUAUUCCGUGACAUCUUAUCUACUUAAGCAGCUAACCCAUGAGGCAUCCAAAACAGAGAGAAAAAACAGAGUGAACAUUUUGCCUUAUGGAAUUGUCAAAAGUUGCGGUCGAAACACAGGCAAGAUUUGGAAGAAUCUGUAAUGAGCCAGGGCCAGUUUUCCUAGUUAUAGAGCCUAGGCUGGAGGAGGUACAUGGGCUGGGGAAGGAGAGGGAAUUAGAGAUUGGCUGUUCCUGGAAACUCUCUGCCUGUACUCCAUGGCCUGAGUCCCAGGACCUGGAAGCGAUGGAGAGUCACAGAUGCUUGUGGUAGGUAGCAGGUGGUGUGUAUGGAAAUGGGAAUGGGAUGCCAAGGGGAUUUGGGCAGGGCACCAAGCAUCUGCCGCAUUACCCUAAUCCAGGCAAUAACACUCACAGUAUCCCAGGGAUUCCCCUUCUAGCCUCGAAUUCCUCUUAUUCUCAUUUAUUUUGUAUUUACUUUCUAGACCAUAGUUUCUCAGAUAGUAAAGGUUCUACUGACUUUCCUCAUCUCUCUGCAACCUCUUUCCUGCCUAGCUUCUCUUCCAUGGUCAAGCCAAUACACACAGAAUUUUGCCUUCCAUUCUUCACUCAGGUGUUUCUUCCACUUGGAAUCUGUUUUUUUUUUUUAGUCAUAAGUGCUCUUUGAGGAAUAUAUUAAGGGCUAAACUUAAUUCAGCACAGUAAAGUGUUGAACUGAAUCAGCAUGUUAAGCACAGUAAUGGGAACAUCAGUUCUGUAACCAAUGAACAAAAUGGUAAAACACAUGUCAGUUUUGGAGUUUAGCUUGAACAAAAAACAUGUGGUACAGGAAAACACAUCAGGUGGUUGUCCCAUAGUGGACUCAAUAGAAAAAGAGCACGGAGUACAUAAUGGACAUUGUCAAGUGUUGUUAAACUAGUUUGAUUUGAGAUUUUAAGGACCCUCAAGUUCCAUGUUAAAAAGUUUUGACUUAUUCUCAUGGUUAAAGGGGAUCUAAGUCUUGGGCAAAUUUAUGAGAGAAGGUGAAAGUCUCUAAGAGCAGAGGGAUGCACAAGAAUGUUAUCUUAAGCACAGAGGACCAGAAGUGUUGAAUAACUUUGGUCUGGACAAUGGGACAAGGAAGAGAUUUUAGUAAUAUGUAGCAUAUCCUUAGGGUUUUUUUUUUUUAUAUUUUUUAGCAGAGAUGGGGUUUCAUCAUUUUGUCUAGGUCUGGAACUCCUGAGCUCGGGUGAUCCACCCACCUCAGCCUCCCAAAGUGCUGGGAUUACAGGCAUAAACCACUGUGCCUGACCUAAUCCCCAUUUUUGUAGCACUUUUUUUUUUUUUUAAUUUUCAGGGCUGGUUUUAAAUGCUUUGUGUCCACAAUCUUUCCCGAUUCCUUGAUUAUUCUUUGUUGUAGGUGCUAUAAUACUUAUUUCACAGAUUCAGAAACUGACAUUCAGAAAAGUUAAGUAGCCUUGCAUAGUUACAUAAUUUUAACUGUUAGAGUGGGGAUUUGAACCUAUGUUUUCUGACUCCAAGGUUUAUCUUCUAUGUGGUACUAUCUCAUCCAAUCUACUGCCAUAGCCUGGUUUCGUCUUAAACAUAGAUGAAAAGUGUGGGUUAGUGUCUUUAUUAGAGAAAAAUUUGUGGAGCAGGCAAGAGAACUGUCUGCAAUAGUCACAUCUUUGAGUGGUUGGAGAUAGUUAUUAGGUAGAUAAAACAUAACUAAUGAACUGUAAAAUUCUAAAAUCUGGACACCUCAUAAAUCCUUUCAGUGAAAAUACAGUAGCCUAUAGUACUUAAGAGUGUGGGUAUAUUUUCAGCACUUAAUAAUUACUAGUUGAAUUGCAUAAUAUGGGACUAUAACUGAUAUGGUUUGGCUCUGUGUCCCCGCCCAAAUCUCAUGUUGAAUUAUAAUUUCCAAUAUUGGAGGAGGUACCUAGUGGGAGGUGACUGGAUCAUUGGGGGAAAUUUCCCCCUUGCUGUCCUCAUGAUAGUGAGUGAGUUCUCACAAGAUCUGAUGGUUUAAAAGUGUGUGGCAUUUCCCCCUUUACUCUUUCUCUCUCCUGCUGGCCAUGAGAAUAAGUGCUUGCUUCCCAUUCACCUUCUGCCAUGCUUGUGUUUCCUGAGGCUUCCCAGCCAUGCUUCUUGUUCAAGCUGCAGAACUGUGAGUCAAUUAAACCUCAUUUCUUCAUAAAUUACCCAGUCUCAGCUCUUUAUGGGAGUGUGAGAAUGGACUAAUAAAAUAUCUCUAGAAUUAUGUUUUUGGAGAUAAUUUAAAGAUAAACAAAUAUUGGAAACCUCAUUUGAUCACACAGAGAACAGUAAAUGGAAGUUCUACUUUUUCUCCAG